AGAUAGAUUUUUCCAUUACUUUUAUAACACACUUAAUAUUUUUUCUUUUUUCCUUGAAUAAAAGUUACAGAAUUAUGAAACAUGAAAAAUAUAUAUUUGUCAGUUAAGGCCAGAUUAAUCCAUCAAGGCCAGAUUAAUCCAUCGUUACACAUUUUCUCUCUCUAGAACUUCCUCUAACCUCUUUCUAAAGACACCAAUUUUUGAUUUCACGAUCUGGUGGCCGGUGGCCUUCCGCCGCCGGUCGCCACACUCUUUAUUUUUUUUGUUGUAUUAUAUCUCUUCCGUUUAAUUGGAUUUCGUCAGGCGAAUUAAUUUUUCUCCGGUUGCGGAUCAUUUGGAUCUGUUUAGAUCUAAGCUUCUUCUCCUUGAAGAUUUCAUAUUCCGGCUAUUUCUUCGGAUCUCCUUCUUCAUUCCGACCUAAGAAGAGUCAAAGCUUGCUAGUUUGCAAGUGUUUUGGCGAUGGCGGUCUUUGAAUCAAUUGAAGUUACUAGGAGAAUCUCACAUCCGACAAAGAGUAUUGGAGAUACUUGGGAGCAGAGGAGCACGGAGAUGAAGCACAAUACGAGUUCGGGAAGAUAUUGUUGCGAUGAGGCAUCAAAGCUGGGCUUAGAUCAACGCGGAAGACAAUCAAGGUGGAGAAACCUUCCAGCGGCGAACUAGUGAAGGAGCGGUGGUGGAGAUUGCAAAUUUUGCAUGAUGUCCGCAUGUCUACCACAUGUCUCUGGAAGCCCUGAUAUCAAACAUGUGUUUAUGUCAACGUGUCUUCUAUGUUCAUAAUUGGGCUUAAAUUAUACUAUUUGUUAAAUGUUGCUAUU